rnacentral:rRNA from 1 species
AUUCCUUUUGAUUUUGGAGGAGUAAAAAUAAAGAAAUUGUUUAUACAUGUUAGUGAAAGCGUAUAAGUGAGUAAAUUCCAAUUUAUGAAUUCUAUCAGGAUGGUUAAAGUUAAUUAUUAAGCAACCUAAGACAGAAAGCUUUAAAGCCACGUUUUAACUGAAACAAAGAAAAAUUAUACAGCAGUAAAGAAAUCUAUACAAUUAAAGUAAUUUAGAUAUGGUAUUUUCUUAUAGUCUUGUCUAAUUAAGUGCCAGCAGACGCGGUUAUACUUAAAAGGCAAAUUUUUAUAGGAAAACAGGUUAAAUGUGUAGCAUAAUGAGAAUAGUGUUAAGAACGUUUUUGAAACGGUUAAAUGUACAAUAAUUGUAAUUUUAAUUAAUAAGUUAUAACACUUUAUAUUGUGAAACAUGAAAAAAAGGAUAUUAAAUAGGAUUAGAUACCCUAGUAAACCUUUUUAUAAAUUGAUUAUUCUAUCUGAACAGUACACUUUUAAGAGUGAAAAUCAAAAAUUUUGGCUGUUUACUUUCCAAUUAGAGGAGCAUGUAAUUUAAUUCGAUAAUCCGCGAAAUAUCUUACCUACUUUUGAACUUCAGGUGCUGCAUGGUCGUCGUCAGUUUAAAUUUAUGGUUUAAACUUAACCCGAUUAGGACAAAGUCAGAUGGUAUGACCCUUAUAAGUAGGGAUAUUAUGUGCUACAAUAAUUAUAUUAGUAAAAAUUUAAAUUCGAAUUAGUAUUGUAAUAUAUUAUGAAGGAGAAUUUAAUAGUAAAUAGGAAAUAGAAAGUCCUAUUGAAUUGGUUCAAGUAUGAGUACAAAUUGCCCGUCGCCUUUAUCAAUAAUUUAUAUUAAAGAUAGAGCAAGUCGUAACAUAGUGGGGGUAAGGGAACUUGUCCCUGAAAUAAA